AUGCAGGAAAUAGUUUGUGGUUGCUCGGGGAAAGCAGGGGUUGAGAACACAAGAUCUUGUCGUUGUGAGUGUCCUGCUCUAAUUAGGCUGCUACGAGCUGAGGACAACGGAUGGUACAUUGCAGAGCAUAGGGAUACACACAACCACUCCUUGUCGCCUAAUUUCAGUGAGACAAUGCACUGGCCAUCUCACAAACACAUCGAUGUGUACACCAGAGAUCUUGUGAAGCAGCUGAGGCAGAACAAUGUGAAUUUGGCAAAGGUGUACAGCAUCAUUGGGGGUUUCUUUGGAUCGAUGGAGAAUGUUCCAUUCAUGAAGAGGUCAUUGCGUAAUCUGUGUGGGAAGAUAAACAGGGACCAUGCAGAAGAUGAUGUGAAGAAGACAAUUGAUGUGUUUGCCGAGAUAGGGGCUAAAGAUCCACACUUCACAUACAGGGUUCAAUCUGACAACGAGGGGAGGAUCAAGAAUCUGAUGUGGGCAAGCGGGAGCAGUAGGUUGCAGUACUCAUUUUUUGGGGAUGUCAUCACAUUUGACACUACUUACCGAACUAACCUGUACGACAUGCCAUUCGGGUUGUUCGUUGGCGUAAACAACCACUUCCAGAGUGUUAUCUUGGCAGGAGUGCUUGUGCGUGAUGAAACUGAAGAUAGUUUUGUAUGGGUUUUCUCCGAAUUCCUGCGAAUGAUGGGUGGCUCUCCACCUGUGACCAUACUAACAGAUCAGAACCGGGCUAUGGAGCUUGCAAUCAAGAACGUUAUGCCAAACACGACCCACCGGUGGUGCAAGUGGCAUGUCCUGAAGAAAGCGAAAGAGUCACUCGGUAGCUUGUACACAAAGAAAAGUGAAUUCAGGGCUGAAUUUUAUAAGGUGAUAAAUCACAUGUUGACUGAAGAUGAAUUUGAAAAAGGUUGGGAGACGCUGCUGGACAAGUACAAGCUGCGAUCUCACCAAUACAUGACAAACCUAUUUGAGAUUCGUAGGAAAUGGGCAAAACCUUAUUUUAAGGGCGUUUUUUGUGCAAAAAUGACUAGCACGCAAAGGAGUGAGAGUGCAAACCAUAUGCUAAAAAAUUAUGUCCCUCCUGGUUGCCCUAUGCACAUGUUUGUUCACAAAUACAUGAGGUUGCAAUUCGACCGGGAAUCGGAGGAGAACUAUGAAGAAAAACGAACGCGAAUUGGAAGGCCGUUGCUAAGAGCGAACCUUGCUGUGGAAAGACAUGCGAGCAAGAUAUAUACGAGAGCCAUGUUUGAACAGUUUAGGCAUAUACUUUAUGAAUGUGGACCUUAUCAAGUGGAGGAGGUGGAGAAACACCAGACAUAUAUUGCAAUCCACAGCGAAGCGGAGAAGAGAGAGAAAUGGUGCAAGGUGUCGUACAAGGUUACAAUGCUAGAUGGGGGCAAUGAAUUUGACUGCGAGUGUGGACAAUUUGCACACAUGGGCCUGCUGUGCAGUCAUGUGCUCAAGGUGUUAGAUUUAUUCGGGUUAAAGAAAUACCGGCAAAACAUAUCGUGA
rnacentral:rRNA from 1 species